CGGCCCCCCCAUUGGCGGGCGGCGCGGCGCGCGUCACAAUGGGUGAUUUGCAUGGGGCAGGCGGCGAGGCGGGCAGGUUGUGCGGCACCGCGGCGUGGGCUGGACUGGCGCUGGGCGAGGAGCUACGGGCGCUCCUGCCCGGGGCCGGGUGGCAGUGCCAGUCGGAGCGGGCCCGCCUGCACCAGUGGAGGUUGCUGUGGUGGGGCGGGCACAUUAUUGCUGGCUUCCCAGAAGCAUGUCUGCCUGCAUUGGGUUAAUGCUCCAGAAGUAGGUGAGCCACUGACUAACGCACAUUGUGCUGUUAGCGAUUCCACUGUGCGUGUGACAGCGGCUAACCUGCUUUUCGGACAUCACUAUGUCUACUCCAUCACCCUGCCCCAGGAAGUGGCAAUGCUGGACCCUAGGAAUGGCUCCUAGUUCCCAACAAAACUUUACGGAGCUCAGCAACAGUCCCUGACAAGUUUGCGGACCUGCGCUCUUUUGGAAUCUUCCGAAGCAUUUGCAGGAAGCUUGUACCUCUUUUUUUCCCUGGGGAUACAUGAAAGACUCGCAGCAAGAAGGAAAAAACAACUGCUUUUGUUAAAAUAAGUUAAUGGGAUGUAGUCGAUGCAUGCAUGUGCCAUUUGGACCACCUGUACUCGUGUUUAGCAUCGUGUUUAGUGAGCGGUCUUGGUGCAGGAGCAUUAAGGGACUUAAUGCUUGUGGGUCCUACUGCAGAAAGGAUCCAGGAAGUCAUGAGCAACUUGCCCUGAGCUAGGGGUGCCAAGCCAAAUGCAAAGGAUUCAUGGGAAGGUUGCAAAUGGAAAGACAUGCUGAUGAAAAUGAGCCCUAUCCCUCCCCUUUAUCCCACCCUGUCCUUUCCAAAAAGUAAUGGUAAUGGACAUCAAGCCAAAUUAGAGAGAAGCUCUUUAUCCAGCCAGUGAAGUCUUGGUACCCAGUCAAUGACUAACUGAACUUCUACUGUCAAGUGUGUGUUAAUAGAAAAAACUAUGCAUGGCAUUGCCCUGGAUGAGUCACCUUAAAGACAGACUCUCUAAUCUCUUAUAAGUAAAGCAGAAACUGGUUUCACCUCCCAACUGUCUUUCUCUCUCUCUUUCUCCUGGUAAAUGUUGCUAUUUGUCUCUCAAAAAGAAGGCUCUAACUUCCCCAGAUUUAUCCUGCCCAGGAAACUCUCUCAUUCAUUUCUCUAGCAGACUGUGAUGUCACUUGUACCCUUACGACUUCAUGGCUUGCAAAGAGCUGAAUGCUUGGGGGGGGGGGGGUGCUUUUUCCAGAUUAUUUGUGGUUGCUUUAACCAGCUGUGAAAAUAGAGGAAGUGACCAAGCACAUUUGCUUUUACCAUAAAAAGUUUUCUUUCACUUUUGCUCCAGCUUAUGAUCUAGGGAGAUUGAAGAGUUUGCUCUUAGGGCGUGUGCAGUUUUAUCUCUAGGUCACUUUGUGAAUCCAAGCCAAGUUAGAAAUAUCAGGCAUCCUCCAGGAGUGGUUGGGAAGCUUCUAUUUGCUGCUCCCUCUGAACCUUUUUUUUUUUUUUUUUUCCUUCUAAAACUGGACCUUGUGGAAGACUUGGGAUUUCUUCUUAUGAAAGGAGCAAGGAAAAAAAAGGCACAGGUUCAUAUAAAGUCAGUAUCAAAAGGAAGUUUAAAGUCACUAAACUAUGUGGAUUCCUCAUACAGCUACAAAUCAAAUAAAGCAAUAAAUUGAUUUACA
ensembl:lncRNA